rnacentral:ncRNA from 2 species
UUCUUAUCGAGAGAGACGGAGGGAUAGGCCCAAAGAAGUCUCAGCAACCAGCCAGCUUGGCAUGGUGCUAAUUCCAAGGGUGAACACCGCCUUGAAGAUGAGAA